AUUGAACGCUGGCGGCAUGCUUUACACAUGCAAGUCGAACGGUAACAGGCCUUCGGGUGCUGACGAGUGGCGAACGGGUGAGUAAUGCAUCGGAACGUGCCCAGAGGUGGGGGAUAACGCAGCGAAAGCUGUGCUAAUACCGCAUGUGAUCUGAGGAUGAAAGCGGGGGACCAGGCAGCAAUGUUUGGCCUCGCGCCUUUGGAGCGGCCGAUGUCAGAUUAGGUAGUUGGUGGGGUAAAGGCCUACCAAGCCGACGAUCUGUAGCUGGUCUGAGAGGACGACCAGCCACACUGGGACAGAGACACGGCCCAGACUCCUACGGGAGGCAGCAGUGGGGAAUUUUGGACAAUGGGCGCAAGCCUGAUCCAGCAAUGCCGCGUGCGGGAAGAAGGCCUUCGGGUUGUAAACCGCUUUUGUACGGAACGAAAAGGCUCUGGCUAAUACCUGGGGCUGAUGACGGUACCGUAAGAAUAAGCACCGGCUAACUACGUG
rnacentral:rRNA from 1 species